CCCGGAUUAGCUCAGCUGGAUAGAGCGCCGCCUUCCGGUGGAUGUCGCGGGUUCAAGUCCCGUAUCCGGUU
rnacentral:tRNA from 1 species